GCUCUGGAGAAUGUCUAAACAUUAUAAUAUGUUUGAGGCUGCCGAAGGUGCAAGGCUUAACUACAGCCGUAUAUUUUAUACAGCUGCCUAUAAGUUAGCUCAAUCUCUCAGGCAAAAGGACAGAGAUU
rnacentral:ncRNA from 1 species